UUCUAUUUUGAUAAAUUGACUACAUAGGCGAAGACAGAUAAGGUUGUAACGUCUAACAUAAUGAGCAUGUAUUAUCAUGCCUAAUAUUAAGGGAUGUUUUGCACUUUUGAAAAGACAGAAGGAAGAAAUAAAGGCAAAAACUAAGAAAAUAAAGUAAGCAUCCAUGCAUAUAUCACAUAAAACAAGAAACAAAUCCAAACACAAACAACAACAAUGGACAGUCUUGCCUGUAUCAGUAGUGGCAUAACACUUACAGAGACAAACUAAAGACGAGUAGGCUUGUCCUUAUUGAAUUAAAAUAAAAGACACAACACAAACUUGGCAACAAGUCAACAUCUAUCGAUGUUCCUUUUCAGUUAGACUUGAAGAUCCAAGACAGAAUCUCAGUAGUCUGCGAGAAUUGUCCAGUGGAAGCAGAUAUUCCAAUCUUAACCUUUUCAGGCAGCUUAGGCAGCUUAUCGACAUCAUAAGUAAGAGUGUCGGGCUGGCUGUGGAGAUAUGUAGAGACAUGGACAGUUAACUUCUUAUGAGCAGAGUUAUAUGUUAUCUUUGCAGUAGUUAUCGCUGCAUCAUGAAAAUUCCAGUAACAAACUUUUGAUGACCUGAUAGAGUUAACAUCAACUCCGAUGUGCGGAUAAUUGGGAUCCCCAAUAUCGGAGUUGGAAAAAGUAUCGAAUUCAACAGCAACAAUUCUGUCAGAUGCAUCAUUAAAGAGGCCGAGAAACUUUCCAGUGGUGGAGCUUAGUUCAGAUAAGGGGUGGCCAUGGCCCCCAAACUUUUUAUAAAAAAUUUAGUAGUACUUUUU